GACGAACGCUGGCGGCGUGCUUAACACAUGCAAGUCGAACGAUGAAGAAAAGAAUUGAAGCUUCGGCAGAAAUUCAUUUCGGAUUAGUGGCAGACGGGUGAGUAACGCGUGAGCAACCUACCUCUUACAAAGGGAUAGCCUCGGGAAACCGGGAUUAAUACCAUAUAACAUUGCGACGAAGCAUUUCGAUGCAAUCAAAGCUACGGCGGUAAGAGAUGGGCUCGCGUCCCAUUAACCAGAUGGUGAGGUAACGGCUCACCAUAGUAACGAUGGGUAACCGGCCUGAGAGGGUGAACGGUCACACUGGAACUGAGACACGGUCCAGACUCCUACGGGAGGCAGCAGUGGGGAAUAUUACACAAUGGAGGGAACUCUGAUGCAGCGACGCCGCGUGAGUGAUGAAGGAAUUCGUUUCGUAAAACUCUGUUCUAUGGGAAGAAAAGGACUGUACCAUAGGAGAAAGCUCCGGCUAAAUACGUG
rnacentral:rRNA from 1 species